rnacentral:lncRNA from 1 species
UUUUAUAGAUUACAUUAUAUUGCUAAUUAAUAAAUUUUAUUUUUAUUUUCUUUUUUUUAGUGAAACGAGAGAUAUUUAUAAUUUAAAUUCCAUGUUCGACAUUCUUAUUAUGUAAAAAUCAUUUAUAUUAAAUCAAAAUUAAAGUAUAAAGAUAAAUUUUUGUAUUUUCAUAUAUUUAUUAAGUAAAUUAUUAUUAUUAAAUGAAAAUUGAAAUUACUAUUUAUAUUUUAUACGCGAUGAA